AAUUGAAACCAAAUAGAGGUAAAUUAUUGUUAAUAAUUAAAUUGAAUUAAAUUUCCAAUU
rnacentral:tRNA from 1 species